rnacentral:rRNA from 1 species
UACGGAGGAGGCAAGCGUUAUCCGGAAUUACUGGGCGUAAAGCGUGCGCAGGCGGUUAUGCAAGACAGAUGUGAAAUCCCCGGGCUCAACCUGGGAACUGCAUUUGUGACUGCAUGGCUAGAGUGCGGCAGAGGGGGAUGGAAUUCCGCGUGUAGCAGUGAAAUGCGUAGAUAUCGGGAGGAACACCAGUGGCGAAGGCGGUUGCCUGGGGCUGUGCUGACGCUGAUGCGCGAAAGCGUGGGGAGCGAUCCGG